GAUGAACGCUGGCGGCGUGCUUAACACAUGCAAGUCGAACGAACCUUCGGGUUAGUGGCGGACGGGUGAGUAACGCGUGAGAAUCUGCCCUCAGGAGGGGGAUAACGGUUGGAAACGACCGCUAAUACCCCAUAUGCCGAUAGGUGAAAUGAAUUUCGCCUGAGGAUGAGCUCGCGUCUGAUUAGCUUGUUGGUGAGGUAAUGGCUCACCAAGGCUUCGAUCAGUAGCUGGUCUGAGAGGAUGAUCAGCCACACUGGGACUGAGACACGGCCCAGACUCCUACGGGAGGCAGCAGUGGGGAAUUUUCCGCAAUGGGCGAAAGCCUGACGGAGCAACGCCGCGUGAGGGACGAAGGCCUCUGGGCUGUAAACCUCUUUUCUCAAGGAAGAAGAUAUGACGGUACUUGAGGAAUAAGCCACGGCUAAUUCCGUGCCAGCAGCCGCGGUAAUACGGGAGUGGCAAGCGUUAUCCGGAAUUAUUGGGCGUAAAGCGUCCGCAGGCGGCCUUUCAGGUCUGCUGUUAAAGCGUGGAGCUUAACUCCAUUAUGGCAGUGGAAACUGAUCAGCUUGAGUAUGGUAGGGGCAGAGGGAAUUCCCGGUGUAGCGGUGAAAUGCGUAGAUAUCGGGAAGAACACCAGUGGCGAAGGCGCUCUGCUGGGCCAUUACUGACGCUCAUGGACGAAAGCCAGGGGAGCGAAAGGGAUUAGAUACCCCUGUAGUCCUGGCUGUAAACGAUGAACACUAGGUGUCGGGGGAAUCGACCCCUUCGGUGUCGUAGCUAACGCGUUAAGUGUUCCGCCUGGGGAGUACGCACGCAAGUGUGAAACUCAAAGGAAUUGACGGGGGCCCGCACAAGCGGUGGAGUAUGUGGUUUAAUUCGAUGCAACGCGAAGAACCUUACCAGGGUUUGACAUCCUGAGAACCUCUUAGAAAUUUGAGGGUGCCUUCGGGAAUUCAGUGACAGGUGGUGCAUGGCUGUCGUCAGCUCGUGUCGUGAGAUGUUGGGUUAAGUCCCGCAACGAGCGCAACCCACGUUUUUAGUUGCCAGCAUUUAGUUGGGCACUCUAGAAAGACCGCCGGUGAUAAACCGGAGGAAGGUGUGGAUGACGUCAAGUCAUCAUGCCCCUUACACCCUGGGCUACACACGUACUACAAUGCUACGGACAAAGGGCAGCAAACUCGCGAGAGCUAGCAAAUCCCAUAAACCGUGGCUCAGUUCAGAUCGUAGGCUGCAACUCGCCUACGUGAAGUAGGAAUCGCUAGUAAUCGCAGGUCAGCAUACUGCGGUGAAUACGUUCCCGGGCCUUGCACACACCGCCCGUC
rnacentral:rRNA from 1 species